UUUUACUGUCAACUGAUUGUACCGUAAGAAAGAAACAAAUGUAAGACCUGUCGAGAGUAAAUCUGACCGGCACAUGUUCCCUCUCUACCCGGGGACAAGGCUGGAAAAGCGGGAGCAAAGAGAGACCGAGCAGACACAGAGCAGCUCUUCCUGGCCAGUUGGGGCUAUCAGCUGCCUGGGCUGUGUGACCUCACCGCGGUGACGUGUAAUCCAGAUUAACCAGCAGCCUUAUUCCGCCAGACGUGGAAGUGAUUAGAGAUUAUGACGUGUCCUUUUGAUAGAAUUGGACGUGUGGGUAAUCAACUGUGUCCACCAGCAUCCCGUAUCAGUGACGUCGCAUCUCUCCUGCUGAUGGAAUCUCCUGUUUGGGGUUGUCUCCACUGGAGGUUUAAGCCUGUCACCAGGUCACAACAUGGACCGGAC